rnacentral:rRNA from 1 species
UACGUAGGCAGCGAGCGUUGUUCGGAGUUACUGGGCGUAAAGGGUGUGUAGGCGGUUCUUUAAGUUUGGUGUGAAAUCUCCCGGCUCAACCGGGAGGGUGCGCCGAAUACUGAGGGACUAGAGUACGGGAGAGGAAAGUGGAAUUCCUGGUGUAGCGGUGAAAUGCGUAGAUAUCAGGAGGAACACCGGUGGUGUAGACGGCUUUCUGGACCGUAACUGACGCUGAGGAGCGAAAGCAUGGGGAGCGAACAGG